GGAUCAAUUUGCUGGUCGUGCCUUUGGUACGUACUGGUAUUAUUGGUUUCUCCUUUCUGAAGAACUACGAUGUCAUUAAUUUGGUGUCGUGGGAAACCAGGACCUUUACCUUGAAAAAAUUAGAGUGUUCAAAGCAGGCUUACGUCUGAAUACAUUAGCAUGGAAUAAUAGAAUAGGACGGUGGUCCUGUUUUGUUGGUUUCUGAAUCACCGUA
rnacentral:rRNA from 1 species